CACUUAUAAAUAGCGCCCAAGCAAGACCCGAAGCCGAAAUUCCAGGAGGGUGAGCGAGUGCUGUGCUUUCAUGGGCCUCUCCUUUAUGAAGCAAAGUGCAUUAAGGUUGCCAUAAAGGACAAACAAGUGAAAUACUUUAUACAUUAGAGUGGUUGGAAUAAAAAAAAGUGCUGUGAGGCCCAGGCGUUCUGAAAAAACUUUGAAGACACAUGAGGAUAUUGUAGCCCUUUUUCCUGUUCCUGAAGGAGCUCCCUCAGUACACCACCCGCUCCUGACCUCUAGUUGGGAUGAAUGGGUUCCAGAGAGCAGAGUGCUCAAGUAUGUGGAUACCAAUCUGCAGAAACAGCGAGAACUCCAAAAAGCCAAUCAGGAGCAGUAUGCAGAGGGGAAGAUGAGAGGGGCUGCAACAGAAAAAUGUUGAAGUGAAAACCAAAAGGAACAAACAGAAAACACCUGGAAAUGGAGAUGGUGGCAGUACCAGUGAGACACCCCAGCCUCCUCGGAAGAAAAGGGCCCAGGUAGAUCCUACUGUUGAAAAUGAAGAAACAUUUAUGAACAGAGUUGAAGUUAAAGUAAAGAUUCCUGAAGAGCUAAAACCAUGGCUUGUUGAUGACUGGGACUUAAUUACCAGACAAAAACAGCUCUUUUAUCUUCCUGCGAAGAAGAAGAAUGUGGAUUCUAUUCUUGAGGAUUAUGCAAAUUACAAGAAAUCUCGAGGAAACACAGAUAAUAAGGAGUAUGCUGUUAAUGAAGUUGUGGCAGGAAUGAAAGAAUACUUCAGUGUAAUGCUGGGCACUCAACUAACUGCUCUACAAAUUUGAGAGACCACAGUAUGCCAAAAACCUUGCUGAUCAUCCUGAUGCACCCAUGUCCCAUGUUUUAUUACUGAAUUAUCUUCAUGAUUUCCUCAAGUACCUGGCAAAGAAUUCUGCAACUUUGUUUAGUGCCAGCGAUUAUGAAGUCGACCUUCCUGAAUACCAUCCGAAAGCAGUGUGA